rnacentral:rRNA from 1 species
CCCGCAAGGGGUGACUGAGUGGCGAACGGGUGAGUAACACGUGGGUGACCUACCUUCGAAUGGGGGAUAACGUCCCGAAAGGGACGCUAAUACCGCAUAACAUCCUGCCUUUGAAGAGGUGGAGAUCAAAGCCGGGGAUCGUAAGACCUGGCGUUUGAAGAGGGGCCCGCGUCUGAUUAGCUAGUUGGUGAGGUAACGGCCCACCAAGGCAACGAUCAGUAUCCGGCCUGAGAGGGCGGACGGACACACUGGGACUGAGACACGGCCCAGACUCCUACGGGAGGCAGCAGUGGGGAAUUGUUCGCAAUGGGCGCAAGCCUGACGACGCAACGCCGCGUGGAGGAUGAAGGUCCUCGGAUUGUAAACUCCUGUUGCCCGGGACGAAAAGCUUUGACCUAAUACGUCAAAGUCUGACGGUACCGGGUGAGGAAGCCCCGGCUAACUCUGUGCCAGCAGCCGCGGUAAUACAGAGGGGGCAAGCGUUGUUCGGAAUUACUGGGCGUAAAGGGCGCGUAGGCGGCCCUCUAAGUCAGACGUGAAAUCCCCGGGCUCAACCCGGGAACUGCGUCUGAUACUGGGGGGCUUGAAUCCGGGAGAGGGAUGUGGAAUUCCAGGUGUAGCGGUGAAAUGCGUAGAUAUCUGGAGGAACACCGGUGGCGAAGGCGGCAUCCUGGACCGGUAUUGACGCUGAGGCGCGAAAGCCAGGGGAGCAAA